GGUUAAAGUUGUCGCGGAUAUAAAGAAUUAAGAAAGGAAAGAAAAAGAGAAACAAUUAAAGAGUUCAAAGUUGAUUCCGAUUAGCCGAUUAGCUGAAACAGGUCUGAGUGGAACUGCGAGUCGACCUCUCUCCAACACCUAUGUGACCGGUGUGUGCAGUGGGAGAGAGGACAGAGAAGCGCCAGGAAGAUCUCGAUCCAAAUAAUGAGUGGUGAGACAGGAGUGACUUUGGAUCUUGGGGGAUUCAGCAGACACGAAGAGUUGGAAAAGAAAGAGAGCGAGAAAUGCUGCAGGCCUGUGAUAUCAACAGAUACAGCAGAGAAAGUCUCCCACCAAGAUAGUCUCAAGGUUAUGAAUUCAGUUAAGGCCAGACUCGCAUAAAAACAUUCAAAGUGGCACCAACAACGACAUCACUGCUUUGGGGAUCAACUUUAUGAAGGAUUCUCCAAUAUCAAGGUAAUUCAGAUCUUUUAAUGAGUCGUAUUGAAUGGGCUAGAACUGGGAACACACUCAACUGGACUGUCUGGGAUUGACAAACAUUGUCCCAAAGGACGGAAACAAAGAAAAGAAAAGAUAUACAGAAAAGCAACAUCCAGGAGAAACUGGUAAGGUACUUUUGGGGUGAAAAGAAAAUUACACUCAAAAAAAAAAACAAAAACAGAUUCCAGAAAAGAUUCAUUAAACCAAUGUCAUCAAUAAACUGUUUUUGAUUCUUUGAAUAAACCAAGGUUUUAGUAAAGAACCAUUCAGUCCAUAAUUCUUUAUCCAUUUUUGUUUGUGCCACAAAAACCAAAUACAUUUUGUAAAAUUUGUGUAACAGGGUUUUUUAUUAUUUUUUAUUUUAAUUAAACAAGAAAAAUUGGUUUAAAGAUUCAUCCAUCAGAACAUCAGAAAUCUUUAAGGUUAGACAAAGCAUGGUUUCUUUAUGGUAUCACUCGAGAUAAUCGUUUUUGUCAAUUUUGUGCCACUGAUCUGUGCAGUUUAGAUAAAAAAAACAUGGUGUUUUAAUACAAUAAGGCAUAAAAGUAAGAUAAGAUUUGUCUGUAAAAUGAUUAACCUCCUUAAGUGUCAGGUCACGAUGACAGCUCUAGACUUAUAUUCCUCACUCUUAUACAUAAAUGCACAUCUUUCCUAUUACUUUUACUGUAGUUACUGAAUAAUUCAUAGCACUUACUGAAUAAUAUGCUCGAAGUUUAAAAAAUAAUAAAAUUUAAGAAUUAUCGUCUUUGUUAUCUCUCAAAUUGCGUCUCAUACAAU